CUGAGCUGGAUGACGCGACGAGCGUCCCGUCCAGUUCUUGGGGGAGGGGGUUCCCGCGAGGGCACCUCCUUACCCGAC
rfam:Cyanobacteria bacterium 13_1_20CM_4_61_6 13_1_20cm_4_scaffold_240017, whole genome shotgun sequence.